rnacentral:rRNA from 1 species
UAGCUAGUUGGUGAGGUAAUGGCUCACCAAGGCGACGAUCAGUAGCGGGUCUGAGAGGAUGAUCCGCCACACUGGAACUGAGACACGGUCCAGACUCCUACGGGAGGCAGCAGUGGGGAAUUUUGGACAAUGGGGGAAACCCUGAUCCAGCCAUUCCGCGUGAGUGAAGAAGGCCUUCGGGUUGUAAAGCUCUUUCAGCUGGAACGAAACGGUACGCUCUAACAUAGCGUGCUAAUGACGGUACCAGCAGAAGAAGCACCGGCUAACUACGUGCCAGCAGCCGCGGUAAUACGUAGGGUGCGAGCGUUAAUCGGAAUUACUGGGCGUAAAGCGUGCGCAGGCGGAUUGUUAAGCAAGAUGUGAAAUCCCCGGGCUUAACCUGGGAAUGGCAUUUUGAACUGGCAGUCUAGAGUGUGUCAGAGGGGGGUGGAAUUCCACGUGUAGCAGUGAAAUGCGUAGAUAUGUGGAGGAGCACCAAUGGCGAAGGCAGCCCCCUGGGAUAACACUGACGCUCAUGUACGAAAGCGUGGGUAGCAAACAGGAUUAGAUACCCUGGUAGUCCACGCCCUAAACGAUGUCAACUGGUUGUUGGGGGAGUGAAAUCCCUUAGUAACGAAGCUAACGCGUGAAGUUGACCGCCUGGGGAGUACGGUCGCAAGAUUAAAACUCAAAGGAAUUGACGGGGACCCGCACAAGCGGUGGAUGAUGUGGAUUAAUUCGAUGCAACGCGAAAAACCUUACCUACCCUUGACAUGUCCAGAAUCCUGCAGAGAUGCGGGAGUGCCCGAAAGGGAAUUGGAACACAGGUGCUGCAUGGCUGUCGUCAGCUCGUGUCGUGAGAUGUUGGGUUAAGUCCCGCAACGAGCGCAACCCUUAUCAUUAGUUGCUACGCAAGGGCACUCUAAUGAGACUGCCGGUGACAAACCGGAGGAAGGUGGGGAUGACGUCAAGUCCUCAUGGCCCUUAUGGGUAGGGCUUCACACGUCAUACAAUGGUCGGUACAGAGGGUUGCCAAGCCGCGAGGUGGAGCCAAUCCCAGAAAGCCGAUCGUAGUCCGGAUUGUUCUCUGCAACUCGAGAGCAUGAAGUCGGAAUCACUAGUAAUCGCGGAUCAGAAUGUCGCGGUGAAUACGUUCCCGGGUCUUGUACACACCGCCCGUCACACCAUGGGAGUGGAAUCUGCCAGAAGUAGGUAGCCUAACCGCAAGGAGGGCGCUUACCACGGUGGGUUUCAUGACUGGGGUGAAGUCGUAACAAGGUAGCCGUAGGGAACCUGCGGCUG